AUCUCAUUAGCUCAAUGGCAGAGCAUAAUACUUCUAAUAUUACAAUCCUAGUUCGAUUCUAGGAUGAGAUU
rfam:Cordyceps confragosa RCEF 1005 scaffold_112, whole genome shotgun sequence.